ACACCCUUUGCCUCCCCUUGCUUGCUUAUCGUUAUCAGAAUUCACAUGAAAGCAGAAGGAGAUACAACUGGUGGGAGGUUCGUCUUUCAAUUUCGCUCUUUGCCUCACCUUGCUUGCUUGCUGUGGACACCUUAGGAUCACUGCUUUGUCUUUUACUCGAUUCCUUUGUCUUGUCACUGCAACUUGAGUAUGUGGGUCACAUGCGGCAUAACGAGCUCAUCUCUCUCUCUCGCUCUCUCUCUCUCUCUCGCGCGCGUGCGCGCCCAAAAUAGUGGGAUGUGCCAUGCCAUCAACAUUGGACCAUAAGCCCAAAAUAGUGAUAGCUCUGGAUAAGUACCAGGGAUCCACAAAACCAUGUCACUUUGGUGUGGAAAGUAGUGAUAGUUCAGCACUCAAUAAUAUCUACUUUGGAGAAAACGAUAAAGCCGAGAGCUUCUCAGUCAAACUACAGACGCCAGCAACCCCACCUCAUCCUCGAAAUCCUCAAAAGUCUUAUAAGAACCCAUUUGCCAUUCCCACUUCUUGCUGCUUCUGGUCCCUUCAAAUUGGGAAGAACAUGCGCCAUUAUCCCCCACCAUAUAAACUAUAAUGACGCUCGCAAGUACCCUGUGUUCCAAGGACAAACCCGAACUGUCUUAGCCACGAAACUAAUGGUAAUACAGAUUGUAACAUCCGCUCUCUUUCAUACCCUGCUUUAGGAUCAGAUAAAAGGCGCAAAUCCUUCCAGUUGCGUGGUGUAGCAUGGAGGGGGUCGCAACUCGCUGCAGAAA